GCCCGCCUAGCUCAAUCGGAUAGAGCGUCAGACUCUUAUCGCUAGGAAGGCAUCUGAAGGCUGCGAGUUCGACCCUCGCGGUGGGCU
rfam:Cylindrobasidium torrendii FP15055 ss-10 unplaced genomic scaffold CYLTOscaffold_79, whole genome shotgun sequence.